UACGUAGGGUGCAAGCGUUGUCCGGAAUUAUUGGGCGUAAAGAGCUCGUAGGCGGUUCGUCGCGUCGGCUGUGAAAUCCCGAGGCUCAACCUCGGGUCUGCAGUCGAUACGGGCGGACUGGAGUUCGGCAGGGGAGACUGGAAUUCCUGGUGUAGCGGUGAAAUGCGCAGAUAUCAGGGGGAACACCGGUGGCGAAGGCGGGUCUCUGGGCCGAUACUGACGCUGAGGAGCGAAAGCGUGGGGAGCGAACAGG
rnacentral:rRNA from 1 species